AUGGUAAUUCAUUAGCUUGCAUUCUUCUUCAGGUUCAAAAGAUGAAAAUGAAAAACAAAAGCUGCAGUAAAAAAUGAUCUGUGUGAACCAUUCAGGACUGCUCCAUGUGCAGGCAUGAGUUUUAUCAAGGCCGGUGAAGCAUUUGUGCUUCAAGCUACCUCUGACUCCUUCGUUCACUGUUCAGUGGCUAGGCCAUCAAUAAUCCCAAGUCCAUUGCCAAGUCUAAAAGGCAGGUCUUAUGAAUCCAACAACCAGCGGCGGCAAAAACCUUUGAGAUAUUGCUUUAUCCAUUCGUCAAUCUGCAGUAGUGUAUCUACUUUCUUGGAAAUGGCAAACAUAUAUUGAUCGAUGAUAGAUUAUGGUGAAUUGUACUUACCUGCGCUUAUCUUUUGGUCUGAACAGAGCUUGGCGAUCCAUAGGGUGCUGGUCUCCGUGGGUGGACAUUCGAUGACCAAUGAAAAAACAGAGGCAACCAAUUCAGCGAGGCCGCCCACCUAGCAAAACGCACCAAAGAACUAAUCUUUCUUAACCAGAGAAGAAGAAGGCGAGACCCAAUCUCAGCCAUCGUCCGUCCUUACCUGCCUAUGUCCGGCGGGCCAGCGGGGGGCCGGACCUGAGGCGACAUGGCCCUCCCGGGGGAGAAGCGGGCGUCGGCGCUGUGCAGGCCGUCCAUGGCGAUGGCGAUGCCCGGGCACCAAUCGUGAGGGAAGGAGCCAAGCGAAUGAGAGGAAGAUGAGAAAGGGCUCGAUACAGAGGAACCAGGAGCCAAGUGAAUGAGAGGAAGAUGAGAAGGGCUCGAUCCGGAGGAACCAGCCCACACCGAGCCCCGCCGCCUCAACAGGAGCUCGGCUCCCUGCCUGCCGGUGGCUCACCAAAGCCACCACCGCCGGCGACCGCCUCCCUCACCUUGUGCCCCUUCUCCUUCUCCUUUCUUCCUCUCUUCCCCGAGGAGCGGGGAGACGGUGAAUCCGUCGGUCAGGAGCUGGGCAGCGCUUCCAUCAUCGCCACCGUUUGGGGAGGGACGCGGUGUGGGGCGGGCGACGUGGGGCAGGAGGUGGCGGCGGGAUGGAGGUGGAGAUGGGAUUGAGGAAGCAGGGUUGUGCGGGGCACUGUUUUU
rnacentral:lncRNA from 1 species